AUAAUAAUAAUAAUAAUAACAAUAAUAAUAAUAAUAAUAAUUAUUAUUAUCAACAACAACAUAACCGUACAGCACUUCCUAUACGGCGCUGCAGCUGCGCGUAUAUAAUACCAAUAAUAUACCUACCGAUAAUACGUACGCAUUUUCGAGCGUUUUGCGCGUUUUCCUUUGAAUAACCCCGGAACGGAAAAUGUAAAACCGACCGUUUCUCCGUCAUGAGAUCAGAAUAAUAAUGUUGUUCACGGGUACGCGCGUUUCCCGUUUUCCGCGUUGCGUGCAAACUCCGUGCCG